GUGAAUCAUCAAAUCUUUGAACGCAAAUUGCACUCUCCGGUUUUCCGGGAGAGUAUGCCUGUUUGAGGUUCUGUUUACAAAAUACUCGAGGCUGCUGCUGUGGUGGCGCUCCGGUAUUAGGUCAUCUUCCAACUUUCGGGGUUGUAAGCGACAUAAAAUUUUUCUUACGAUUUCUACGAACGUGUCUAAGAAUUUUUCUUGUCCGUUCGCGACAUCGAAAUCAUAUUAGGUG
rnacentral:misc_RNA from 1 species